CUUUUAGUUUUCAUUCUGAGAUCCAAUAUCUAGAUUGCUUUCGGUCUGUCUGAUUGUCAGAUUAAUAAUAUGUUUGGUCAAAGUUUCAACCAAUCAGACAGAUAGAAAGCAAUCUGGAUAUUGGAUCUCAGAAUGAAAAUGACCAGAG
rnacentral:pre_miRNA from 1 species